rnacentral:lncRNA from 1 species
GAUUCUCCACCUCCUCUUCAUCCUCCAUCCCCCUUUUACUUCUCUCUCCCCCGUCUCUCCUCCCUCCCGCCUCCUUUCUCCCUCUCCCCCUCCCUCUCUCCUCUGAAUAAGCAAGCUUUUGCCUCUAAAAGUCACAAGUAAUCCUCGUGUGUGACAGAGAGAGAGAGAGAGAGAGAGAGAGAGAGAGAGAGAGAAACGAGCUGGCGGAGAGGAGCAGAAGGCAGGAGGGGAAAUCUGGCACAACGGCUGGGAGAGGAAACUUGAUGCUUCUGGGCCACCAUUUGCCAGGGCCUCGCUCGAGACGCCGAAAGAAGCCUGUUUGUGUGCUGCGGCCGUGCUGUGACUUUGGAUCUUGUCUUUCAGCCGGCGCCUCGGUUCCUGCCCAGCUGGAUUUGGGGGGCAGCAUUGCCUGGCGCAGGGAGAUCAAAUGAGACUGCAAAGAAGCAUAAAAUGAAUAGACAAUCCAACCAACCAAAGACCGGGGGCAGCAGCAGGCCAGCAAGACGGCAUCUUCUCCUUCCCAGCCUAGAAGCCCUGUGAAAUCGAGGAUCUUCCCCCUAAAACACAUACACACAAGAUAUGUGCAAUCAAGCUGCCACCGCUUGGUAAAAAGCCAUGGUGCCUAACCAAAAAGGAUCAGGAACAGAUCCUUGAAUCAGCUGUCACUUCUAUAGAAUGGGAUUUUUUUUUCCUUCCUCCUUAACCUGCGCUGGAAAUUGCCGUUGGCUUUAUACAUCUCUAUAGAGAGAGGCUAAAGAGUCUUGCGUGAGAAAGAAGCAAUUUACAAUGCAAAUAGAGGCCUGUGAAGGGACGGAUGCUGCUGCUCACUCGUAACAGCUUGCUGCACCUUAAUAGCUGGUUUUAUUUUCUGAUAUUAAUAGAUGAAUUGUUGGCUAACGCUGCCGGAGAUUACUUGCUGAAAGGAAAAAGAAAAGUUCGGAAUAAACUCUGAAGGCAACAGAUCUCGUUUGGAUGUUUUAGCCGCGCACACACACAAACAGAAACCAGGUCAUAUUUACAUAAAAGGAGGAAUCUUAAGCGCGGCAAGUAUCCUGGACGACCACUCUUCGGUACUGCCAGAAAGGAUCAGGACCUGGAGUCUGGCAAGAGGAAGACAGAGGCCUGUGUGGGAAGCGAGUUGUUAUCUUUGGUUAUCUAGCUGUAUGAGUGUAUUGGUCUUCAUAAAGCUAGAUAACCGAAAGUAAAAACUCCUUCAAGAUCGCCGGGGAGCGUGUGAGAAUGAAAGACUACAGCCGAGAGACAGUAAAAACCAGAAAGGUCAGGAAUACUUAUUGAAUCUAACUUUGUUUUUGUUUUGUUUUUUUCCUUAUGAUUAAAGGUGGGAUGAGAGAAAAUUAAAUGACACACACAUGCUAAAAUAUCAAGGUUCCAGAUAUGUCUUGAGAGGGGUUGUUGCAGCUGCAAAGGAGAAGUGUAUAGUGAUAAUGAGUAAAGAUGCAUGUGCAGUUUGUUCUAUUUUAAGGCAAAAGUUAUAUCAGGGAUUUUUUUCUUAGAAAGGUGUUGCAGAGAUGUCUGGUACCUAGUUUAAAAAUGAUUCCAUAAUAUGUAGACUUGGGCAGUUCCUUUGGGAGGCACCUCCCUCUCAAAAUUUGAAGAUUGUGCUUGGAAAUUACUUUACAUGUAUUUGGGCUGUAUGUCAAUUUGUACGAAAUUAGACUUUCAGAAAAGUUUAUACUGGAAGGUUAAUAAUUUGUAUCUACUGAGGACUUAGAGCUAGCAGGCAAAAUGAAAAAAAAAAAAAAAAAAGCAAGGGCUGAUUUUUAUUCUUCUAUUCAAAAUACAAGGACAGAUGCUUCUCUGUUCCAAGAGGGUUUCCUUGAGGAAGCUACUGAAGCAGAAAGACAUGAUGGAGACGAGAUCGCCUCCCCUCUUGUCAAAGUGUUAAAAAAAUGUUCUGUCUUACUCUGCGCCUAGCAUUGGAAAUGAAAGUGACAUUUACGCCACAACCCACGUGUGCGCCUCCUCUCUUUUUGUUUAAGGAUGAUCAGGUCUAUCCAGGAAACAGCUCUGGCAUCCCAAACUGAAAUAAUUAGGACGUAUAUAGACCUGACAAAAAUGGAAAGGGGGUGGGGAAUCUGAGGGUCUGUCUUGCCUAAUUGAUUCCGCUAAACGGAAUGCAGGAGAUGUGAACGGCAGGACGCUCCGAUUCCCACGCUCGGGGGCAAGUGAUAAAGCGGGGCCGGGCAGCCUAUGACAGACAGCCCUGUUGGGGGGUGGGGGUAUGAAAAAAACAUCAAGUGCACACACCAUACUCAUCUCCAUCGCUUAAGAAAGUAAAGGCAUUUCCCACCCACAGCCAUCUGCAGCUUCCCAAAUGGCAGCACCAACUGGUCUGUAGCUGCUACAUAGUCUGCUUCUGUUAAUUUUUUAACCACUGUUUAAUCUGGCCAUAAUUAAGUUUGGCUUUCUUCGUUGUUUGAGAUUUUCAGAAUUCAAGGCAAGCUAGUAGAAAGCAAUUCCAAGAAAGUCCCAUGACUGCCUGCCCCUAAUGUCAAAAUCUCAGUCCAUGAGAUUAUGGCCUUGUGACCACAUUUUUGCUUUUGUUUUGGGUGGGCAAAUGUGUAUAGAGAUAAAAUACAUAUCUCUAUAUAACAGUCGUUAUUAUAAUUUCAUGAGGCUUUUUACCUCUUAACAUGAUACAUCUAGGAACUUGGUCUAAUUGUGCUAGUAGAUAUACACUAGAAGUAAAACUAUAAAGUCAUUAGCCUGUAGAAAGUUGAUUAUGAUAACAAUAUGAUAAAAAGUUUGUUUUGGAAUAGUCUCAGCUAGAUGGGUCUAAAUAGCCAUUUUAAUGUAAUCUAAAAAUAACACUAUGCCUAGCAGAAACUUUGGCGCUUUGGAGGUCCCCAUUGUCGCCUUUUCAUAAAAGUCCUUAAGUUUUCCAUAUGUCACCAAGCAAACAUUUGUAUAGGCAUUUACACAGAAAUAUAACCAUUGCAAUUAGAAAAUAUCCAAAAUAGCCUGUUAUCUUCCACGUGGCCUAGAUUAUUGACAAUCCCAAAUAUACAAUUUUUCUUUAAAAGUAGUACAAUUUCCUUUGUAGCUUCAAUUCCUUAUAUGACUUCAGACUGGAGAAGCCUGUUAAACCACUGUUAGUUUCAGUUAGAAAGUCUGAGAGACUUUAUACAUAAAUUCUCAAUUUGGCUGCUGUACACGUGCCAGAGUUUUACUACUGUAGUGACCGUUGAGAAGACCCUUGUUUAUUUACAUUUGAAGCACUGUUUGUGCAAACAACCUUUCAUUGUUAAGUGCCUGUAUUCCUUUCAUUUACUUCAUGUCCAGGGGUGCUAUUUACCUAGAACCAUUGUCUACUACAAUUAACAUUUACAUUACAAAGUGUGUGGUUUUCUUUUUCAAGGAGGUUCAAUUAAGGCAAUAAGAUGUUUGCUGGAGAAACCUAUUGUUUA